AAAAAAAAAGAAAGAAAAGAAAAACAGCAAAAAAAACAAAUAAUUUACUCAAAUAAGGGACUGAAAGAUAUGUUGAAACAGUAACAAAGAGCAAGUUGGAUUAGCCAAGACCCAUAAACAGUAUACAAAAAGCAAUGACAAUAUAAUUUAUGAGAAAACCCAGAAACGAUUUGUUGGAAAGAACCCAGGUAAUGGCUUUUCUGUGAACUAAAGCUCUCAACUUUCAGUUUCUCUGAGAUUGCCAUAGGCGAUAACAUAACCGUUUUACUGCCUAAACACAAUUAAGACCAACCGAAUAAACCCAAAAAAAAAA
rnacentral:misc_RNA from 1 species